UGCUGAGAACAAAAGUAGGAGUUAGGAGCCUCUUCUGGAGGAGAGACAGGAUCUGUCAAAGGUCAGAGGGAGAGUGUGAAGCAAGGCUUGGGGUAGAGGUGUGUGUGGGUGUGACCUAAAAGGAAGAACUUUGAGUUGAUCAACAUAACAAAGAGCCCUGAAUGUCCCGUCCUGACGAGGGUUCAGAGGUCAAUGCCUACUGCACUCAAAAGAGGGUUUGAGACAUUUCUCAUGUCAUUCUCCCUCCCUGACCCAGGAACUGCAUUGGGAAGCGGUUUGCCAUGAAUGAGCUGCAGGUGGCUGUGGCCUUGACCCUGCUCCGCUUUGAGCUGGCACCAGAUCCUUCCAGAGUUCCCAUUCCAGUACAAGAAGUUGUGUUGAGUUCCAAGAAUGGGAUCCACCUACAGCUCAGGAAGAUCUGUAACCCUUGCUGACACAAAGACAAGGGUUCUGGAGUCAGGAGUCUGAAAUGGGUUUCACUGGACCACAACCAAGGUGUUGGCAGGACCACCCUACCUCCAGGGCUCUGGGAGAGAAUCCCACUCUUUGCCUUUUCAGCAUCUGGAGCUACAUUUCUUAUAUUCCUUGGCUCCUGGAGCCUCCCUGCCUCCAUAUUCAAUCCAGCAGCACCUGCAAAUGUCUCUGCUUCUAUAUUCACGUUACUUUCUCUUUUGUGGGGACAUUUGUGAUUACACGGGCCCACUCAGAUUAAACAGGACAUAGCCACAGCUUGUAGGGAUUAGAUCGGGAAAUCUUGGGCAGCCAUAAUUCUAAUAAGCCCCGAUGUGACUACCAUCAGUCUCUUCUGUGUGUUACCUGUCUACCCGUUUGUCAUUCCCUCACCCGCUCCUUCUUUCCUCCCUGGAAUAAAGUUCACAACGUCA